rnacentral:rRNA from 1 species
GAUGAACGCUGGCGGCGUGCCUAAUACAUGCAAGUCGAGCGAACAGACGAGGAGCUUGCUCCUUUGACGUUAGCGGCGGACGGGUGAGUAACACGUGGGUAACCUACCUAUAAGACUGGGAUAACUUCGGGAAACCGGAGCUAAUACCGGAUAAUAUUUCGAACCGCAUGGUUCGAUAGUGAAAGUUGGCUUUGCUAUAACUUAUAGAUGGACCUGCGCCGUAUUAGCUAGUUGGUAAGGUAACGGCUUACCAAGGCAACGAUACGUAGCCGACCUGAUAGGCGGAUCGGCCACACUGGAACUGAGACAGGGUCCAGACUCCUACGGUAGGCAGCAGUAUGGAAUCUUCCGCAAUGGUCGAAAGCCUGACCGAGCAACGGCGCGUGAGUGAUGAAGGUCUUCGGAUCGUAAAACUCUGUUAUUAGUGAAGAACAAACGUGUAAGUAACUGUGCACGGCUUGACGGUACCUAAUCAGAAAGCCACGGCUAACUACGUG